rnacentral:lncRNA from 1 species
UUUUCACCAGGAAGGAGCGCGGCAUGUUCCCCUCCCGGGCGGCAGGCUCAUUAGCAUAGCGCGCCGCCUCCGCCAACCAGCGCCCGGCGCGAGUGGGGCGGGGCCACGGGGGCGGAACUGAGGGCGAGGCGGGGUCUCGGGCAACACGCCCAGGACAGGUGCGCGGGCGGGACGGGGCGGGGAGCGCGUGGCCGCCGGUGUCCUCCCCACGGGAAUUCUCUGGCGUGCGCGCCGCCGAGUCACACACCGACCCGUCGGGCCUGGCCACCCACUCGCCGUGAGUGAAGGGCAGAGUUCAAAGCUGUGUGGAAACCGAGCGAGAAUCUCUUCCACAGAAUGUGGAAGCGUCGGCCGAGCGCGGUCCUUGGAGAACCCUUGCUGCGGAGAAUGACGCUCACUCUGCGGCCUGGCCUCGCCUCCCCAUCCCUUCUGCAAACUCACAGGACAGGAUUGAUGGGGAGAGCCCAGGCGAAACGAAGCUGACCCUAGUGACCAGCCCUACUGGCGGCUCUGGAACAGGCCCGGGACCGGUGGCCUGGAGACAGUGGUCCUUUCUGGAUGGGCUGCAGUCUCCGAAGGCUUCCCCCACUGGAGUCAGCCCUUUAGGAGUUUGUCCAGUGCCUCCAGAAAGCUGUUUUUUGGGGGACGGAGGACUUGGCCUGGAAUUCUGGAAUUCCCAGGGGGUCAGACAUGGUUAUGGGAAGUUUAAUAAAACCGGUGAAUCACGUGA